UGCGUAGGUGGUUUCUUAAGUCAGAGGUGAAAGGCUACGGCUCAACCGUAGUAAGCCUUUGAAACUGGGAAACUUGAGUGCAGGAGAGGAGAGUGGAAUUCCUAGUGUAGCGGUGAAAUGCGUAGAUAUUAGGAGGAACACCAGUUGCGAAGGCGAUUCUCUGGGCCAAAACUGACGCUGAGGCGCGAAAGCGUGGGGAGCAAACAG
rnacentral:rRNA from 1 species